rnacentral:sRNA from 1 species
UCCAAGAAAAAAGUAAUGGUGAAGCUAGAAGCAAGGAUAUAACAACGAAAGCAUCAGAAGAAAUAGAAAAUUUACAAUUGGCUCAAGUGGAUGUCCGAUACAAUAAUCGAUUCGCA